AAUUGGGUCAUAUUUACAGAAAACAUAGUGCAAUUCAAUUGGAUAAAUGAUCUCAAUAAUCUAAAGGUUUAGAUAUCAGUAGCAAAUGGGUAAAAUGGCAAUGACAAACAACAGGACAAAGAUAAGGAAAUACUCGUUUUCACUCAGAAGCCGUGUCCAUCUAAACUGCACAUGGAUGGCGGCACCAUCAGUCAAGACAGUGAACAUCAUCCAUCUGGAGUUCAGAAGGGCAUCUGUUGUUCCAGGGGGACUACUUAGCUUCCACUCCUCUCUAUGCCGCCAUCUUGCCCGAGUCCCUUGGUAUGACAUUUAAUGAUAGAGCAAAUUGGAACUCUGGCUGAUGGCUUUGACCAUGCUAACGAUUCAUACUUCCUCAGCAAGAAUCACAAAGAAUAAUGAUGUUAGCUGAACUCUUCCAGCAAGAAACAAACUUUGACUUUUGCUCUUGACCUCUCAAGAUCACUUUUAUAAUUUCACAAUGUGAGAGAGGAGGACAUACAGAGUCAAAGUCCAUAGAACACAAUUAUAGGGGAAAAAAAUAAAGCAUUG